UCGCGCGCCCGGCGCUUCCGGGUCCGGCGGAAGCGUGCCGGUUGCCAUGGGGACGCGGCCUAGCCGCCAUGGCGGGGCCGAGCUGGCUGGAGCGGCUGCGCGGGGCCCGCAAGACCGCGCUGCUGCAAGACGGGAAGAGGAAGGUCCAUUACCUGUUUGAGGAUGGGCUGGAGAUGGCUGAGGAGUACGACCUGAAGACCAGCCAGCUGCUGGCUAGAAAGUGGCGAGAGAAGAAUGCUCUGGGGAGCUGCGGCAAGUGGCAGGUUGAGGUGGGAGAGCCGACCAUGUACCCAGGGGGGGCGCUGGAAUCGGAGCUCAUAAAGGAAAGCAGCUCCAGUCCCAUCUUCAUGAGGAGGGACACUCAGACCAGUUUCCAGUGGCGGAUCCGGAACCUACCCUACCCCAAAGAGGUCUACAGCGUCUCUGUGGAGAAGGAUCAGCGCUGCUGUGUUGUCCGUACCACCAACAAGAAGUCAGACUUGGAAAAUAAACUAGCUGCACUUGGGGCAGAGGUAGAGAGACGCCGGGCUUCAUGCAAAGCCAGCUUAAUGGAGGUAUUACAAGAAGUUCCCCAUUCCUGACCUGGACAGAUUCCAGCUUCCCCUGGACGCGGCUGCCCUGAGCUUCACUUAUGCCAAUGCCACCCUGAUUAUCACGUACCGGAAGCCCCAGGAGAUCCUGGCUGCGGAAGAAGAGCUGCAGAAGGAGCUGAAGAAGAUCAAGGCAGCUAACGAUGGGGACGGGGAGUGCAAGACACAGUAGGCGAUGGCUGCGGAGGGGUUGGGGCAGAACCGUGCACUAUUUAUUUUGCUGCUUUUUCUAGUAAAAUGAUUUCCACAGGGAA